rnacentral:rRNA from 1 species
GCCAGACUCCUACGGGAGGCAGCAGUGGGGAAUAUUGCACAAUGGGGGAAACCCUGAUGCAGCGACGCCGCGUGAGUGAAGAAGUAUUUCGGUAUGUAAAGCUCUAUCAGCAGGGAAGAAAAUGACGGUACCUGAUUAAGAAGCCCCGGCUAACUACGUGCCAGCAGCCGCGGUAAUACGUAGGGGGCAAGCGUUAUCCGGAUUUACUGGGUGUAAAGGGAGCGUAGACGGUGAUGCAAGUCAGAAGUGAAAGCCCGGGGCUCAACUCCGGGACUGCUUUUGAAACUGUGUAACUGGAGUGCAGGAGAGGUAAGCGGAAUUCCUGGUGUAGCGGUGAAAUGCGUAGAUAUCAGGAGGAACACCAGUGGCGAAGGCGGCUUACUGGACUGUAACUGACGUUGAGGCUCGAAAGCGUGGGGAGCAAACAGGAUUAGAUACCCCCGUACG